GGGCUCUUUGAAGGAGAAUGUAGUAGAACAAGUCAACACGAAGUUAAUGGAUCAUAAGAAGCGUAGAACCAAGCUUGAACACUAUUCCUCCUUAGGGUUUGAUGAAACAACAUUGCUGCUCAAUAAAGAAAAGGAGCAAGGCAAAACACACACAAGGGUUAGUGGAAAAGCAGAUGGCAAUGAAGCAAAGUCAGCAGAACUUGUGAGCCUUGGUAACGAAAAGGAGCAACGAAGAAAUCACACGAAAGUUAGUGGAAAACUGGAUAAUACGGCAAAGUCCGCGAGAGUUUCGGCUACCUGCGUUGCGUACUUUGUGUCUUAUGAUGGCUUUGCCUGGUUGAACUUUUAUGAAAUGCUUGUCUUGGUGAGCUUCAUGCGACUUAUAUUAUGCCCUUCUAUUGUUGAAUUCUAAAUGCUUUCUGCCAUCUCCUAGAUGAUUGUUGUUCGGCAA